rnacentral:lncRNA from 1 species
CAGCUAUUUCAAACCAUAAAGAUGAGGGCUGUCCCCUAGGGAUGGUAGAACUAAGAGCCAGAAAAGACUAAGUUCUCGAUAAUCAUUUGGAACUGCAAUAGUGGUCCUGGACUACCUAUCUCUAGACUUCUUUUACAUAGGGAGAAAUAUACUUCUCUGUGAAGCCACAACCUUUUAGGAUUUUCUGUCACUUGCAGAGAGGUGGUAGCAGCUCUCCAGACUGAAAAGGAUCUGGAUGGUUUCAGUGAUGGAGGCAGCAGAUUAUCUGGGCUGAGCUCAAAGUCCCAUGCAAAUGAAGGCUCCACCUACUCAGAAGUCCUCGGGCAGCAUUUAAGGACACGAAUCACCUGACUUCACUGCGGGGAAAUCCUCUCACGGCAUGACUUCCUGUCACAGUAGAAUAGAACCCACGCUCCGACCCAUGACCUACAGCUCUCAGCAUGCUCACUCUAAGAGCUCUGCCAGCUUACAGCCCUCACGUCCUCAUGGUGCCAGCAGCCUCCAAACCUGGUCCUGCGACACAGGAUCUCUGUUGGUUCCUCAUCCUGGGAUGCUUUUCCCAGACCCUCCAUGUCUAGCUCCUUCCUCCCAUUAUCUGACAGCUCUGUGGAAUGCAACCCCACCCACCCAUCAUCACUAUCUCCCAUUCUGCCUUAGUUUCUUCCUUCGUUCUUCCUUUUCUUUUUGACAAGGUCUUGCUCUGUUGCCCAGGCUGGAGUUCAAUAGUGCAAUCAUGGCUCACUGCAGCCUCAACCUCCUUGAUCCUUGAUCCUCCCAUCUCAGCCUCCCAGGUAGCUGGGACCACAGGUGUAAGCCACCAAACCUGGCUAAUUUUUGUUGUUGUUGUUUGCGUUUUUGAGAAAGGGUCUCACUCUGUUGCUCCCUGGGUUCAAGUGAUUCUCCCAUCUGAGCCUCCCGAGUAUCUGGGACUAUAGGCACGUGCCACUACGCCCGGCUAAUUUUUGUUUUUGUUUUUGCUUUUGUUUUUGUUUGAGACUGAGUCUCACUCUGUUGCCCAGGCUGGAGUGUAGUGGUGCAAUCUCCACUCACCGCAACCUCCACCUCCUGGGUUCAAGCGAUUCUCCUGCCUCAGUCUCCCAAGUAGCUGGGAUUACAGGCGCAUGCCACUAUGCCCGGCUAAUUUUUGUAUUUUUAGUAGAGAUGGGGUUUUGCCAUGUUGGCCAGGCUGGUCUUGAACUCCUGACCUCAGGUGAUCCACCCACCUCAGCCUCCCAAAGUGCUAGGAUUACAGGCAUGAGCCACUGCACCCAGCCAGACUUGCUAAUUUUUGUAUUUUUUUUGUAGAGACGGAGUUUCACUAUGUUGCCCAGGCUGGUCUUGAACUUCUGGGCCAAGUGAUCUGCCAAAGUGCUGGGAUUACAUGUGUGAACCACCAUGACUGGCCUGCCUUAGUUUUCUUAGUAGUAUUUAUCCCUGCCUAAAAUUCUCUUCGAUGACUAUUGUCUUACACAUGCAUUUGUUUACUGAUUUCUCUCCUUCCCUAGAACGUACAAGUUCCAUGGAAGCAGAGACUUAGUUGGCUUGUUCACCACUCUAUCUCCAAUGCCUAGAUGGUGGCUGGCACUCAUGAGGAGCUCAAUAAAUAUAUGUUGAAUGAAUGGAUG